rnacentral:rRNA from 1 species
UACGUAGGUGGCAAGCGUUGUCCGGAAUUAUUGGGCGUAAAGCGCGCGCAGGUGGCGCGACAAGUCAGUGGUGAAAGCUCGACGCUCAACGUCGAGUCGGCCACUGAUACUGUUGGCUUGAGCACUGUAGAGGCUAAUGGAAUUCCGGGUGUAGCGGUGGAAUGCGUAGAUAUCGGGAGGAACACCCGUGGCGAAGGCGGCUCUCUGGACCACAACUGACACUGAGGCACGAAAGCCGGGGGAGCAAACAGGAU